CCUGCCCUCCUGGCCCCGCUGAAAAACAAACCCAUCCCUGUCACUUGUCUGUGUCCUGGGGACAGACAGGGAAGGUAGGUGUAGCCAGGAUUCUCCCCCUCCAGGCUCCUCCAUGGUGCACACCCAGCCCACAGAUCCCACAGCUCUGCUUUUAGAGCAGCACAAGCCUCCCAGCUUCACAGUUACCAAGGCAAAGAAGAGCCCCGCCACCAGCGCACCGCGAGCUGGCAUGGCAGGAGCCGCCGCACUGCUUCUCCAGGGAGACAGAGGUGCCGCCAGCCUGGGGGCCACCCACACGGGCAUGCAGGCGGCAAGCUCGAUGCCUGCUGCAUGCACGGGUCUUCAGACUCUGGCCCGACCCACAGCCGCCACGCAGGAUGCUCCCUUCUUAUGGCACCCAGCCUUUCCCACCAGGAACUGCUGCCAUGGGGACCUGGGGUGAUGGCUGGAAUGGGUCCCAUGACCUCCAACACUGCUCCAGACAAGGACCCCGAGACUCAGGGAAGGGAAAGCAGCUGUCCUGGGUUCUGGAGUGGAUGGGCACAGACACGGAUGGGAGGAGAGGCCUGCAUGGACAGCACCCUGCUAAGUCUGAAGGUGGCCCCAGGGCUGAGCUGGCAAGUGCUUCCACCCUGGGGGGACCCCCCCGCAGGCCUGCUCCUAGACAUCAAGAGGAGCAGGUCGAGCCGGCACAUAUGUGUGGACAGGAUGGCCUCAAAGGAGAGGCUGUAGUGUGCAGCCAGGUGGGAGCUGUUUUUACCCAGAGAGUGAGAUGGGAGCUUGGAGAAGCAUGCGCCUCCCACCACACCUCCCACCACGCAAAAUGUGCCACCCAAUGGCACCCCUCUCCAGGGAAUGCAAUGACCACAGGCCCAGAGGCCGCUCUCCUGGCUGGGCCAUGGCCUUCUAGUUUUUCUGCCCCGGGAAACAGGCACAGAAUCCCUUCCCCAACAGCCCAGGAGCCAGAUGCAGGCCACGAUUAACCAUCUUCAGAUUUUAGAAAACGGAGAUGGUUCACCCAGGGGCUGGGGCUGGGGGCAGCCUGGAGAAUUUCCCGGCAGGAAAUAUAUAUAAAUAGGCCCCAACGCAGGAUUAAUAAAGGUGAGAGGAGCCUCACGUCUGUGCAGGACAGGACUUGCCCCCAACUGAGCUCUGGUGUUAACCCUGGGCUAAAACUUCCGGGUUUCAGAGCCGUCUGGAGUUCAGCCUCUUGGCUAAGUGGCUGUGGGCCUGGGCUGGCAGCUGGCCCCAUGCCUCCAGCACAGCAUCUACGAUUGUGCCCCAAUGCUCUGCCCUUCCUCUCACCUUGAAGGAGGGAAAGGACAAGUGGGGAAAGGCUCACUGGGAUUGAGGGAAGAACAAAGCUCUUCCCAGGACAGGGGCUGCUUAGAGCCGGGCAGUGCUGGCCCGGAGGUCUCCUGACGGGCACAUGGCCUCCUGGGCUCUGUCCCCUGCACCUCCAACAGGAAAACCCCAAACCUCGUCCAGGGCUGGGUGCCGCCACCUCUGCUGAGGCCACCACUACCUCCACAUCUUCAGCGCCUCUGAUCCUGAAUGCUGGGGGAUGGGUUUUUGCUGUUUCUUCUGAAGUCUUUGAGAUGAUUUUCAAAGACACCCCUAAAUGUCCUCCGGGGCGCCUGGCCGCCGUCCACCUGCACAUUCUCAGGAGUUCUGGCUACACCAUUUGAAACGGGCUCCGAAAGGGCCCCCCCGGAGGCCGGGCCCACCCUCCGCAGCAACCCAGCCCGUCCGGACCGGUCGGCUGGGGAAGCUCAUUCGGAUGCGCCCUCCUCCUGUCCACGUGGGAGGCGACCCGGGUGCAAGCCCCCGUGGACACCGCGGCCGAAUUUCGUCCGGAGGCGCUGUGCUGCCGUUCUCCGAAGAAGCUGCUCACAAACUUUAACGUCGCUGUGUCGUGUAUUCACUCCUGGGCUCGUGACGUCGCUGACCCACAGUGUGACCCCCUCGGAAAACACUUGAAAAUGGUGAAGCUGUCCUAUGGCUGAGAGCUUCUGGAUGAAGGGCCACGCCACAGGCGCAGAGGACAGAUGGAGGCAAGUCCAGAGACCGACCUGCUGCGGACUCCGGCCCAAUCCCUGCUGCGGGAAACCAAAGAAUCAGGCUGGGCCCAGCUUGCUUUCUCAAAUCGGGGACGGGGCCCCAAAAACCCUCAGCAGGUCUCAGCUCCAAGGCCCCCUUCCUGGCUGCUCACCGGCCCCUCCCGAAGGGGGGUCCUUUGGUUGCAGAAGCACUGGCCCCACCUCCCCCGUACGCCCGGGGUUCCCAUCCCAGCCUGUGCUCUGCACCCGUGUCUCUGGGCAUCCGCAACCUGGCUCCCACGUGCCCCUGGGUGCCCAAAGCCGGGCAUGCCCCGGGUGAGAGGCA